rnacentral:lncRNA from 1 species
AACUGAAGGUUUCACAAAACCAAGAAGGAGCGUCCAAAAAAGAUAGAUCAAACAUCAAAAGAAAGAAACUCCUUUCCCCCAUUCUUCAAACUUUCCUUUCUCAAUCAAUCCGGUUCUCUCGGUCUCCCCAUCGUUGUCCUGGGAUCCACAGACGAAGAUUCUUUCCCCUCUAGGUAAACCGAUUUCCUCCCUUUCAGCAUUUAUGUUGCCAAAGCAUGAGCGAGUUUAUUUGCUGAUCUUGGAACAUGAUUGAAACUGAUUUCGUGAAAAUUACUCUUCAUCUGUUGUAUAUUUCUUAUGAAAACUCCGAUAUUUGAUUUAUCAAAUUUCAAAGACUUAUAUUUCUUGACCGUUGUUAAUGAGUCCCCUUCGAUAAUGACUCGUAUCCAUCCAUUAUCAAAACCCGUACUCACCGCGAGUUGACAAGCUAAAGCUUCAGCAGCAAAGGCAGACACUACUCCCUUAUGAAAACUCGUAUGAGUGAAAAACACUGCUCCUCUUUCAUCCCUAACAGCCACUCCUGACACCAAUCGAAAUCUUCGACCAUCAAAAGCACUAUCAAAAUUUAUUUUGAUGACUAAACUCGAUGGAGCUUUCCAACUCACGUCCUCCUUUCUCUUAGUACAAGUGUUUUCCUCCAACCUUUUAAGUUCUUCCAUAUAUAGCUAGAAACAAAAUUUGCAGUGUCCUUGCCUACAAUAAUUUUUCUAUCAUGAACCUUUUUGUUUCUGUGUUUCCAGAUAGACCAGAUUGCACAACAGAACAUCUUCCUCUGAUGGGUGGUGUAAGUCUCGAAAACCCAGGUAAGCCAUUGUUCAAACUCUAUACCCUGAAUGUUCAAAAAGUGCAAACAGUUUAAUUCUGACCAAACUUCAAUUGUUAUAGGACAGCGACGAAACAAAUGAUUCAUUGAUUCCUCCACACUUCGACACCGAGGACAGUAGGAAGUUGGGGCCAACUUCUUAAACUUCAAGUUAGUAAGCGCAGGUAGAUAGUUCCAAGAAAUCCUUCAAAUUGUAAUUUUAAUUUUCCCCGAGAGGUCUAGGUUCCAUAAAAGUUUGUAGGAAGCACUAGAUUUGGUCUGUAAUGCAUAAGCAGUAGGAUCUUCCAAAUUUUUUUGUAAAAGUUUAUAGGCACUGCGAACCAAAAACUCCUCCGAAGUCUCUCCACUCCAUACCAGAAAAUCUUCAUGAGCUUCUUGAGCAAGCGAAAUCUGAAGGAUAUUAACAGCGUCUGACUGCAAGAAGGUAUCAUUUAUUAAUCCCCGCUUCUAGACAAGUUCAUUAGAAUUUAUUAACUUCGACAUCAUUCAAUUCUGCAUAUUACAACUAUUUUUGGAUAUUUUAAAAUUUGCAUUAUCGGGAAUCCAUGCAUCAUUAUAUACUAAGAUUUUAUUCCCCAAACCCACAUGCCAACAUAAGCCCUCCUUUAAAACCCAUUUUGCCGUCCAAAUACUUUUCCAAGUAUAAGACGGAUUAUUCCCUAAAUGAGCACCCAUAAAAUCAGAUCAUAGAAAGUAUAUAGCUUUUAGCACAUGCACAAUAAGUGAAUUUGGACGAUUUAUAAUCCUCCACCCCCUAUUUGGCCAACAAAGAAAUAUUGAACUUUUCCAUGUUUCUAAAACCCAUCCCCCUAUCCUCUUUCAAUCUACACAUAUGCCUCCACUCGCACCAAUGUAUCCUUCGCCUUCCCUAUCCUUUUUGCCACCAAUAUUUCGCUAUAAUGCUUUUAAUUUCUCUACAAAAAGACUUUGGAAACAAAGAAUACGACAUUGUAUAUGUGGGGAUUGCUUGCAAGACUGGUUUAAUAAAAAUUUCCUUUCCCCCUUGUGACAAAAGCCUCGUGCUCCAAUUCUUGCUUCUCUCCUGAAUCUUAUCCUUUAAGUUUUGAAAAGAUGCUUUCUUCAUUCUUCCCACAAUAUUCGACAACCUUGAAUACUUUUUAGCAUUGUUGGAAAAACACACCCUCAUCAAAUUUAAAACCCGAAUCUUCUCCCCUUAGGUACAUUUGAGCUAAAGAAAAUUGUUGAUUUACUGAAAUUCACACAUUGACCAGAACAAUUCUCAUAUUCCUUGAAAAUGCUUUCAAUAAAAAAGCAUAUCUGGUUAUUACCUCCCCAAAGAGAAUGUUGUCAUCCGAAAACAAGAGAUGUGAGAUUUUAGGCCCUUUUCCACUAGCCUUCACCCUUUUCAAAAGCCUUCCAUCCAUAGCCAACCUCAUCAAAGCUAAAAGACCUUCAUUACAAAUGAGAAAUAAAAAAAGACUAAGAGGGUCCCCUUGACGAAGGCCCUUAAAGGCAGAAAUCUUCUUCCCGUGCAACCAUUAACCUUUACCGAAUAUGAAUUCGAUGAAAUACGCCUCAAUAUGAUCCUUACCCAAUCAGCAGCAAAACCCAUCUUUAACAUUACUUCCUUUAGAAAAGCCUAUUCAACCCUGUCAUUGGCUUUACUUAUCUAGUUUAACUGCCAUGUAGCCUUUCUUUUUAGUGCGCUUGUGGCGAAACGUGUGUAAUAGUUCAUAAGCGAGUAAAGCAUUAUAAAAAAUUAAUAUCCCCGGUAAAAAGGCACUUUGAGCACAAUCGACACAGUUUUCAAUAAUGCUCUGAAGACGGUUUGCUAAAAAUUUUGCCACAAGUUUAUAUAAAACAUAACACAGACUAAUGGGUUUAAAAUUCAUUAGGUUUUUGGUAUUUGGAAUUUUAAGGAUAAGAAUAAUUUUAGUAACAUUUGCAUAGUCAAGAUCAUUACCUUCAUUAAGAAUCCUCAAAUAAUAGGAGAGAACAUCGUUCUUGACAAUAUGUCAUUACUUUUGGAAAAACAUAGCUAGGAAACCAUCAAAUCUCGGUACUUUUUUGGGCCCCAUUUCUUUCAAUGCUGUGUAAACAUCUUCCUCAGUAAACUUUGCUAAAAGGAAAAAAUUCUCCUCAUGAAAGAUGCUAGUAUUAAUCAUUGAUAAAAUAUGCGACAAAUUGUAAACUAAAAAGUAUAGAGGAUUUUUUCUAUAUAAUUCAUUACCUUUUUAUUUAAAUUUGUUGUUAAAACCAAGUAAUUGUUUAAUAAAUUAAUGAAAUAUGCGAAAAUAUGAAAUUAGGACAUAGAAAUUAUUAAAAUAUGAUUUUAUACUUUAUUAUAUAGUUUUCAUGCAUAAAAUGGCUUGUUUUAUAUUAAUUUGAGCAUAUUAUAUUUUUAAGCUAUAAAGUGGGCCAUGCAUGAUUAAAUUAAAUAAUAAAAUAUAAAGUUAUAUUUAAUAAUUCAUUUUUAAUAAUUCAUUAAUAAAUUGGGUUUUAAUUAAUUAAGUAAAUUGAUUGAUUAAAAUGGUUAAAUUAUAUUAUUUGGUUAUCUAAACUAUCUACUAAUUUUGGACAGGUCUGAGAGUUUUCUUCUAAUUGCAAAACCGUCCAAAUUGGGGACCAAGUCAACCCAAUUUUCGGCUGUACAUGGAUUUCAUAAAUCAUUUUUUUGGUUUAAUUAUACAAAGUCCUUGAAGAGUUAAAGAAAUCAGAGAUUUUUUCGAAGAUUGGUUGAUGACAGAGUUUUAGUCCUGAGUUGUUGUGGCACUCUAAUUGAUAAAAAAUCAAGAAAAAAUUAGCCACCUUUCCUCAAUUCGCUCAUUUCUCACUUUUUUCAAUCAUCCCUCACCCAUUCACCAUUCUCUUCUCUCUCAACUCUCUUAGCUAUCUUUCCCCCUCACGCUUAUCAUCAUCCUUGCAUAAGGAUUUUUAGCAAAAUUAGUCUCUUAAAGAACCCUUGGUCGGCCACCUUGGAGAGCCAUCAGCAAAGGAGCAACGCAAAGAACCGAAGGAGUCUCGUCAGUCAGAGUCUUGGGUGACAACCACUUUGAAUUGGGUUUAAUAUUUCUUUUCUUUAAAUUUAAUUUAAAGAUGUUUGUGAUGUGUUCUUUGUUCUUGUUUACAACAAUGUUAGCUUAAUUUUAUUUAAGCUAGGAUGAUUACUUUGAUUAAGUAAUAUUUAUUUGAUUCAUGCUUAUAAUGUUUGUGCCUCAAUCGAUCAUAUUUUCAAUUAAAAUCAA